rnacentral:rRNA from 1 species
GACGAACGCUGGCGGCGUGCUUAACACAUGCAAGUCGAACGAUAAGGCCCAGCUUUUGUGGUGUGUUCGUGUCGCAAGCGUGUGUGUUACACGAGAGUCAUCUGCCUUUGACUGUGGUAUGCCUGCAGGACACGGUGUCUAAUACCGUAUAGCAGCUCCCCGUGCGUGGUGUUGGUUGGAAAGUUUCGGUGGUUGUGGAUGGACUCGCGGCUUAUUAGCUUGUUGUUGGGGUAGUGGCUGACCAAGGCUAUGACGGGUAGCCGGCCUGAGAGGGUGACCGGCCACACUGGGACUGAGAUACGGCCCAGACUCCUACGGGAGGCAGCAGUGGGGAAUAUUGCACAAUGGGCGGAAGCCUGAUGCAGCGACGCCGCGUGCGGGAUGACGGCCUUCGGGUUGUAAACCGCUGUCAGCUGGGAAGAAGAGAGAUUGACGGUAACUGGUGAGAAAGCACCGGCUAACUACGUG